rnacentral:rRNA from 1 species
GUAUUCGGANAAAGNUUGGUGCUAAGAAUACGGGGUGUGGCAGUAGUUAGCGGCAAGUGGUUUUGCAGUACCGUCACCAUCUUCCCUGCCGAAAGAGCUUUACACCCCGAAGGGCUUCAUCGCUCACGCGGCGUCGCUGCAUCAGGGUUUCCCCCAUUGUGCAAGAUUCCCCACUGCUGCCUCCCGUAGGAGUCUGGCCCGUGUUUCAGUGCCAGUGUGGCCGUGUGCCCUCUCAGGCCGGCUACCGAUCUUUGCCUUGGUAGGCUUUUACCCUGCCAACUAGCUAAUCGGCCGCGGGACUCCUCCCUCAGCGCAUUGCUGCUUUCCUCUCUCGAGCUUAUCCGGUAUUAGCCCCGGUUUCCCAGGGUUAUUCCAAACUAAGGGGUAGAUCAUCCACGUGUUACUCACCCGUACGCCACUGUACUCAGGGAUUGCUCCCCUUUCUCGUUCGACUUGCAUGUGUUAGGCGCGCCGCCAGCGUUGAUUCUGAGCCAGGAUCAAACUCUGUCGACAUCGAUGGAAGCC